rnacentral:rRNA from 1 species
GCCAGACUCCUACGGGAGGCAGCAGUGGGGAAUAUUGCACAAUGGGGGGGACCCUGAUGCAGCGACGCCGCGUGAGUGAAGAAGUAUUUCGGUAUGUAAAGCUCUCUCAGCAGGGAAGAAAAUGACGGUACCUGACUAAGAAGCCCCGGCUAACUACGUGCCAGCAGCCGCGGUAAUACGUAGGGGGCAAGCGUUAUCCGGAUUUACUGGGUGUAAAGGGUGCGUAGACGGGACAGCAAGUUAGUUGUGAAAGCCCUCGGCUUAACUGAGGAACUGCAACUAAAACUAUUGUUCUUGAGUGCAGGAGAGGAAAGCGGAAUUCCUGGUGUAGCGGUGAAAUGCGUAGAUAUCAGGAGGAACACCGGUGGCGAAGGCGGCCUGCUGGACUGCGACUGACGUUGAGGCCCGAAAGCGUGGGGAGCAAACAGGAUUAGAUACCCUGGUAC